rnacentral:rRNA from 1 species
CCUACGGGUGGCAGCAGUGAGGAAUAUUGGUCAAUGGGCGGGAGCCUGAACCAGCCAAGCCGCGUGAGGGAUGAAGGUUCUGCGUAUCGUAAACCUCUUUUGUCAGGGAACAAAGUCGGGGACUAGUCCCCGGAUGAGGGUACCUGAAGAAAAAGCAUCGGCUAACUCCGUGCCAGCAGCCGCGGUAAUACGGAGGAUGCGAGCGUUAUCCGGAUUUAUUGGGUUUAAGGGGUGCGCAGGCGGCCUGUUAAGUCAGCGGGAAAAGGCCGGGGCUCAACCCCGGCGUGUCGUUGAAACUGGGGGGCUGGAGUUGGAGUGAAGUACGCGGAAUGCGCGGUGUAGCGGUGAAAUGCUUAGAUAGCGCGCAGAACCCCGAUUGCGAAGGCAGCGUGCCGGCUCCACACUGACGCUGAGGCACGAAAGCGUGGGUAUCGAACAGGAUUAGAUACCCCGGUAGUC